CUCUCCCCCGUGACCUCUUCGACCCAAACCUCAAGCGAAAAUUCCCUAGCUCGCUAGACCGGCGCAGGACUGUGACUGCGCGCCUCCUUUUACCUGAGAGGGACCGCCGGGCCCCCGGGCGCAGCCGCCAAAGGCGGGGAGCCGCCGCCGCCCCGGCGCAACUCAUUGCCGGAACUAAAAAAAGCAACCACUUCGUUGAACGGAACUGGCCAAUAGUGCCCUUGGCUCGGACUGAUGACGCACAGCAGACGCUACUCCCCAGGAAACGUGUGGAGCCAGUGAACGGAAGAAAAACAAUGGAAGGAAGGCUUGAAAAGUCCAUUACAAAACUACAGUCCUUUGAAAAAGAUUUCAAAGAUAUUAAAAU
rnacentral:lncRNA from 1 species